rnacentral:rRNA from 1 species
AGUAAAAGUCGUAACAAGGUUUCCGUAGGUGAACCUGCGGAAGGAUCAUUAAAGAGUAAGGGUGCUCAGCGCCCGACCUCCAACCCUUUGUUGUUAAAACUACCUUGUUGCUUUGGCGGGACCGCUCGGUCUCGAGCCGCUGGGGAUUCGUCCCAGGCGAGCGCCCGCCAGAGUUAAACCAAACUCUUGUUAUUUAACCGGUCGUCUGAGUUAAAAUUUUGAAUAAAUCAAAACUUUCAACAACGGAUCUCUUGGUUCUCGCAUCGAUGAAGAACGCAGCGAAAUGCGAUAAGUAAUGUGAAUUGCAGAAUUCAGUGAAUCAUCGAAUCUUUGAGCGCACAUUGCGCCCCUUGGUAUUCCGAGGGGCAUGCCUGUUCGAGCGUCAUUACACCACUCAAGCUAUGCUUGGUAUUGGGCGUCGUCCUUAGUUGGGCGCGCCUUAAAGACCUCGGCGAGGCCACUCCGGCUUUAGGCGUAGUAGAAUUUAUUCGAACGUCUGUCAAAGGAGAGGAACUCUGCCGACUGAAACCUUUAUUUUUCUAGGUUGACCUCGGAUCAGGUAGGGAUACCCGCUGAACUUAAGCAUAUCAAUAAGCGGAGGAAAAGAAACCAACAGGGAUUGCCCCAGUAACG